GCCGCUUUAGCUCAGCCGGUAGAGCACGUCAUUCGUAAUGACGGGGUCGCGUGUUCGAGUCACGCAAGCGGCACCA
rnacentral:tRNA from 6 species